GACGAACGCUGGCGGCGUGCUUAACACAUGCAAGUCGAACGGAAAGGCCCCUUUGGGGGUACUCGAGUGGCGAACGGGUGAGUAACACGUGAGUAACCUGCCCUUGACUUCGGGAUAACUUCAGGAAACUGGGGCUAAUACCGGAUAGGAAUCCUUGCUGCAUGGUGGGGGUUGGAAAGCUUCGGCGGUUUUGGAUGGACUCGCGGCUUAUCAGCUUGUUGGUGGGGUAGUGGCUUACCAAGGCUUUGACGGGUAGCCGGCCUGGGAGGGCGACCGGCCACAUUCGGACUGGGAUACGGACCAGACUCCGACGGGAGGCAGCAGUGGGGAAUAUUGCACAAUGGGCGGAAGCCUGAUGCAGCAACGCCGCGGGCGGGAGGACGGCCUUCGGGUUGGAAACCGCUUUCAGCAGGGGCGAAGCUGGUGGUGACGGUACCUGCAGAAGAAGCACCGGCUAACUACGUG
rnacentral:rRNA from 1 species